rnacentral:rRNA from 1 species
AGCGAACGCUGGCGGCAGGCUUAACACAUGCAAGUCGAGCGGGCACUUUCGGGUGUCAGCGGCGGACGGGUGAGUAACGCGUGGGAACGUGCCCUCUGGUUCGGAAUAACUCAGGGAAACUUGAGCUAAUACCGGAUACGCCCUUUUGGGGAAAGGCUUGCUGCCGGAGGAUCGGCCCGCGUCUGAUUAGCUAGUUGGUGAGGUAACGGCUCACCAAGGCGACGAUCAGUAGCUGGUCUGAGAGGAUGAUCAGCCACACUGGGACUGAGACACGGCCCAGACUCCUACGGGAGGCAGCAGUGGGGAAUAUUGGACAAUGGGCGCAAGCCUGAUCCAGCCAUGCCGCGUGAGUGAUCAAGGCCUUAGGGUUGUAAAGCUCUUUUAUCCGGGACGAUAAUGACGGUACCGGAGGAAUAGGCCCCGGCUAACUUCGUG